rnacentral:rRNA from 1 species
UGGGGAAUAUUGGACAAUGGGGGCAACCCUGAUCCAGCCAUGCCGCGUGUGUGAAGAAGGCCUUUUGGUUGUAAAGCACUUUAAGCAGUGAAGAAGACUCCAUGGUUAAUACCCAUGGACGAUGACAUUAGCUGCAGAAUAAGCACCGGCUAACUCUGUGCCAGCAGCCGCGGUAAUACAGAGGGUGCAAGCGUUAAUCGGAAUUACUGGGCGUAACGCGAGCGUAGGUGGGUUGAUAAGUCAGAUGUGAAAGCCCCGGGCUUAACCUGGGAACGGCAUCUGAUACUGUUAGGCUAGAGUAGGUGAGAGGAAGGUAGAAUUCCAGGUGUAGCGGUGAAAUGCGUAGAGAUCUGGAGGAAUACCGAUGGCGAAUGCAGCCUUCUGUCAUCAUACUGACACUGAGGUUCGAAAGCGUGGGUAGCAAACA